AGAGUUUGAUCAUGGCUCAGGAUGAACGCUAGCGGCAGGCCUAACACAUGCAAGUCGAACGGUAACAGGGAUUAGCCUAGCUAAUUUGCUGACGAGUGGCGCACGGGUGCGUAACGCGUAUACAAUCUGCCUUUAAGCGGGGAAUAGCCCAUGGAAACGUGGAUUAAUACCCCAUAGUCUAUAAACUUCACCUGGAGAUUAUAGUAAACAUUUAUGGCUUAAAGAUGAGUAUGCGUCCUAUUAGUUAGUUGGUAAGGUAACGGCUUACCAAGACCGCGAUAGGUAGGGGUCCUGAGAGGGAGAUCCCCCACACUGGUACUGAGACACGGACCAGACUCCUACGGGAGGCAGCAGUGAGGAAUAUUGGACAAUGGAGGCAACUCUGAUCCAGCCAUGCCGCGUGCAGGAAGACGGCCCUAUGGGUUGUAAACUGCUUUUAUACGGGAAGAACCACAUCUACGUGUAGAUGCUUGACGGUACCGUAUGAAUAAGGACCGGCUAACUCCGUGCCAGCAGCCGCGGUAAUACGGAGGGUCCAAGCGUUAUCCGGAAUCAUUGGGGUUUAAAGGGUCCGUAGGCGGGAUAAUAAGUCAGUGGUGAAAGUCUGCAGCUCAACUGUAGAAUUGAUUGCCCAUUGAAACUGUGGUUCUUGAAUUAUUAUGAAGGGGUUGGAAUGAGUAGGUGUAGCGGUGA
rnacentral:rRNA from 1 species